AUACGGAGGAUCCGAGCGUUAUCCGGAUUUAUUGGGUUUAAAGGGUGCGCAGGCGGGAGAUUAAGUCGGCGGUGAAAUUUUGCAGCUCAACUUUAAAAGUGCCUUUGAAACUGGUUUCCUUGAGUGUAGAUGAAGUAGGCGGAAUUUGUGGUGUAGCGGUGAAAUGCAUAGAUAUCACGAGGAACUCCGAUUGCGCAGGCAGCUUACUAAACUACUACUGACGCUCAGGCACGAAGGCGUGGUGAUCAAACAGGAGUAGAUACCCUGGUAGUCCACGCAGUAAACGAUGAUUACUAGCUGUUUGCGAUACAAUGUAAGCGGCUGAGCGAAAGCGUUAAGUAAUCCACCUGGGGAGUACGUUCGCAAGAAUGAAACUCAAAUGAAUUGACGGGG
rnacentral:rRNA from 1 species